CCGCCCUCUUUCCGAGGCCGGCCUCAUGGCUGGAAGUCAUGGCGGCGUCUAUCCGACUCGAGGGCGGCGAGCAGCCUCAGGCCUUUGGAAGCCUUUCUUGGCCAUCUGCAGAGACAGCAAGAAGCGGACCUGCAGGUUGAAGCUUAAAAAUUAAAUGUGUUGGCUGUGGACUUGGACAAAAGUCACAUGAAAAACAUCAUCUUAAGAUGUUCCAGUGUAAGGAUCUUUGUGAUGAAAUUUCUAUAAAUGGACAGCCGCAGCCUCGGUCUGUGAGGCGGAAGCGGAUCCUCCAGAAGGCACUUAACCAGCAGCAGCACGUGUCCGCUGCCCUGGACGCAGUGGGCUUGUUCUCGUAUGUCUGCAGUGUGAGACAGAACUGAAUUGCUUUGCCCGAAGCGAGUGACGAUGCCUCUCCUGUUGCUGGUGGCCUCCCAGUGGUGCCAGACAGGAUCAGCAAGCCUCUGCCGCUCGUUGCUCAUGUCUGUCAAGUAAUCCCCCAAAAGGAGAAUCAUUUCAGAGUUCUUUGGACCUUUAUCUUCAAAAGGAGCCAAAGAAUUCGAGUGACAGUGAGUUUAUCCCAGAAAAUCUUGGGCAGUUAGUGAGACUAAGAAUGUUGAGAACACCACUUUCGUAAUCAUGUAUUGGCGGGACUGCGAGCGAUUAUAAAUUGAAGGUAAUUAACGUGUAUAUGCUCUUGUGGGAAACAAGAGGAAACAGGUGCGUGGCCUAGAAAAACAUUUCUUGGGAGUGGAUUUCCUGUGAAGUCCAUGUGUGUCCUGGGCUUAAAUUUUGAAGCACAAAUAAAAAUUUUUUGAAAUGACUCACUAACAUUGUGGCAUCAGAUUGAGGCCCACAUAAGAACAGUAUUUCAUUCUGUGACUCAGUAAACGCAUUCUUCUAUAAGUGAAAGUUUCAAAGGCUAUUAAUUGGUGCUAACGUAUACAGGAUGCAAUCAGAUGUUCAACUUUACCACUAAAUUGAGUUUAUACCCCUUCUAAUGAGUUGCCACCAACAAAUAUAAUAACUAGGACUUCUCAAAUUCAGUGGAUUGACAGAGGUUCUGAUAACUACAGACUUGAUGGGAAUAGGGAAAAGUAAAUAAUGUAUUACUGAUAAAAAGGGGGUCCAGGCAGCAGGAAGCUAUGGUUUCCUCAAGUAGCUGCUUUAGUAAUUAAAGCCCAAAUGUCUAGUCUGUUUGUCACAUCUCUGAAUUUCUAAAGUAGCAGUAUUUUGGAUCUAGUGAUAGAGUUCAUCCCUCUUGUUAAACAUGCUGAUAGGAUCAGCCUUCCAGAACCAGAGGCCAGGUCCUGGGCCUUGGUGAAUCGAGCAAUGGUGACUGAUGCCAUCUUGGGAAGGCUCUUGCCAGCCAGCCCUGUGGAGACACGACCCCGUCGGCCCUACAGUAUAGACAUCAGACUAUCCUGAAAGCUACUCGUCAUAAGGCCAGGAAAUCCCAGGGCCUCUUAAGGGCUGUAUGGUGAUAACUCGGCCGGUCAAGACCUUGUACUUCCGAUAGAAGCCCAUAUAACUGUCUUAAAUGAAACUGCCUGUCAACUAAGUUCAAAUUACUGAAGCCAUGAUGUUCAAUACUCGACAAUGAGGGUUCAAUACCUGAUAAUGUCAUCCUUUUGAGACAAGGUGGGGUCAUAUAUCUCUAAUGGGACUUCCCUGAGAGGGAGGCAGCCU